GUGUUUUUCCGCGGGUCCUCCACAAGCAAGCGUUUUGGGCAACUUGGCUAACUAAAGCAAGAAUGAAAUUUAAUGGAAGGAUACAGCUAACUCACAGAGAAGGCCAAGAACCAGUCUUGGAAGAAGACAGGAACUAAGCCAGUUCUGGAGGAGCAGAAACGGUAACAACAUCCAACUGCUUUCUUCAUAAGAAGACUAGAAAAGUAUAAUGAAAACUAUAUGGAGAAGGAUAAACUUAAAGAAAUGCAAAAUACUACUGUGAAAGUCUGGCUUCUUCAAAACCGGGAUGUGGUCUCUUGGGUCUGUCUUGGUGCUAUUCUGAAACUUGUACUUUGUGGUGCCCCCAGUACAUGGACAGUUUUUCCAGAUAUUUGGCUUUACCAGUAAACAAAUUCUGAUACCAAGGAUCUCAUGUCUAAUAGAAUUCAAGUUUUUCAGAUGCUUCAAAACCAUUAAGUAGUGAAGAAGUGUAUCCUGAAUGCAAUAAUUUCCCAAUGAAAACCACAUGUAUCAGACUGAAUGGAUGCAAGCUGAUCAAAAUACAAUGUUGUGUUUCCCAUAAUCAUGGCGGAUUAUUUGUCUCUCCACAGAAAGCGUUAUUACUUUGCAGUGCUCAACAGGGGUUGAUGGGCAACCCUGACGUUUCCCCUCGGCGUCACUGACUCACGGAUGGACUUCUUCAUUAAAGCCGGCACCACACUUCUCCUGGUUUAAUGGGGAUAAAUAUAGCUACUCAAAGAGGGAAAACACUUUCCUAUCCAUGAAGAUAUUACAUCCAAGAGACGAAAGGAAAACCUGCUAAUUGAGAAUCGCACUUUGGUUUAAUUACACAGAUGCUAAAAUAAUGUAACUGAAGAUCCUUAAAAAUAUAAUUAUCCACUAUGAAAUGCUUGAGAGCAUGUUUUAUCUUUCUGCCUUUAAUGCACAUGAUCAAGAAAGAGCCAACAAAAGAAUCAUUCCUGGGUAAUUUGGGAAACUGGGACAUGUUUGGGU